CAACUGAUACAGAUGUAACAAGAAUCUUUUGGGGAGAAUUUUAAGACCAAGGUCAACCUAAUGAGAGAAACACAGGUGUGGAAUAAUAAGGCCAAGACACCCCUUGUGCAAGACUGGAAGAAAACCGCAAAGAACUUGCAUGAGGCUUUCUAUAUUCUGGAUAAGAUCUCCCAUAAAAGUAAUUUCUCUCCUA